rnacentral:rRNA from 1 species
GAAUGCAGGCAUGAGUAGCGACAAGGCAAGUGAGAACCUUGCCCGCCGAAAGACCAAGGGUUCCUGGGCCAGGCCAGUCCGCCCAGGGUGAGUCGGGACCUAAGGCGAGGCCGACAGGCGUAGUCGAUGGACAACGGGUUGAUAUUCCCGUACCCGUGUGUGGGCGCCCGUGACGAAUCAGCGGUACUAACCACCCAAAACCGGAUCGAUCACUCCCCUUCGGGGGUGUGGAGUUCUGGGGCUGCGUGGGAACUUCGCUGGUAGUAGUCAAGCGAAGGGGUGACGCAGGAAGGUAGCCGUACCAGUCAGUGGUAACACUGGGGCAAGCCGGUAGGGAGAGCGAUAGGCAAAUCCGUCGCUCACUAAUCCUGAGAGGUGACGCAUAGCCGGUUGAGGCGAAUUCGGUGAUCCUCUGCUGCCAAGAAAAGCCUCUAGCGAGCACACACACGGCCCGUACCCCAAACCGACACAGGUGGUCAGGUAGAGCAUACCAAGGCGUACGAGAUAACUAUGGUUAAGGAACUCGGCAAAAUGCCCCCGUAACUUCGGGAGAAGGGGGACCGGAAUAUCGUGAACACCCUUGCGGUGGGAGCGGGAUCCGGUCGCAGAAACCAGUGAGGAGCGACUGUUUACUAAAAACACAGGUCCGUGCGAAGUCGCAAGACGAUGUAUACGGACUGACGCCUGCCCGGUGCUGGAAGGUUAAGAGGACCCGUUAACCCGCAAGGGUGAAGCGGAGAAUUUAAGCCCCAGUAAACGGCGGUGGUAACUAUAACCAUCCUAAGGUAGCGAAAUUCCUUGUCGGGUAAGUUCCGACCUGCACGAAUGGCGUAACGACUUCUCAACUGUCUCAACCAUAGACUCGGCGAAAUUGCACUACGAGUAAAGAUGCUCGUUACGCGCGGCAGGACGAAAAGACCCCGGGACCUUCACUACAACUUGGUAUUGAUGUUCGGUACGGUUUGUGUAGGAUAGGUGGGAGACUGUGAAACCUCGACGCCAGUUGGGGCGGAGUCGUUGUUGAAAUACCACUCUGAUCGUAUUGGGCAUCUAACCUCGAACCCUGAAUCGGGUUUAGGGACAGUGCCUGGCGGGUAGUUUAACUGGGGCGGUUGCCUCCUAAAAUGUAACGGAGGCGCCCAAAGGUUCCCUCAACCUGGACGGCAAUCAGGUGGCGAGUGUAAAUGCACAAGGGAGCUUGACUGCGAGACUUACAAGUCAAGCAGGGACGAAAGUCGGGAUUAGUGAUCCGGCACCCCCGAGUGGAAGGGGUGUCGCUCAACGGAUAAAAGGUACCCCGGGGAUAACAGGCUGAUCUUCCCCAAGAGUCCAUAUCGACGGGAUGGUUUGGCACCUCGAUGUCGGCUCGUCGCAUCCUGGGGCUGGAGCAGGUCCCAAGGGUUGGGCUGUUCGCCCAUUAAAGCGGCACGCGAGCUGGGUUUAGAACGUCGUGAGACAGUUCGGUCUCUAUCCGCCGCGCGCGUCAGAAACUUGAGGAAACCUGUCCCUAGUACGAGAGGACCGGGACGGACGAACCUCUGGUGCACCAGUUGUCCCGCCAGGGGCACCGCUGGAUAGCCACGUUCGGUCAGGAUAACCGCUGAAAGCAUCUAAGCGGGAAACCUUCUCCAAGAUCAGGUUUCUCACCCACUUGG